GAUGAACGCUGGCGGCGUGCCUAAUACAUGCAAGUCGAGCGAACGGACGCGAAUCUUGCUUCUCUGAUGUUAGCGGCGGACGGGUGAGUAACACGUGGAUAACCUACCUAUAAGACUGGGAUAACUUCGGGAAACCGGAGCUAAUACCGGAUGAUAUUUUGAACCGCAUGGUUCAAAAGUGAAAGACGGUCUUGCUGUCACUUAUAGAUGUAUCCGCGCUGCAUUGGCUAGUUGGUAAGGUAACGGCUUACCAAGGCAACGAUGCAUAGCCGACCUGAGAGGGUGAACGGCCACACUGGAACUGAGACACGGUCCAGACUCCUACGGGAGGCAGCAGUAGGGAAUCUUCCGCAAUGGGCGGAAGCCUGACGGAGCAACGGCGGGUGAGUGAUGAAGGUCUUCGGAUGGUAAAACUCUGUUAUUAUGGAAGAACAUAUGUGUAAGGAACUGUGCACAUCUUGACGGUACCUACACAGAAAGCAACGGCUAACUACGUG
rnacentral:rRNA from 1 species